GGGGGAGCCAGCCUGCUGGCGAUGGCGCCGUGUGAGUCGAAACCUUCAUGACUGACAGAUAGCAAUCGCCAGCAGGCUGGCUCCCAC
rnacentral:misc_RNA from 1 species